rnacentral:tRNA from 1 species
GCCGGUGUAGCUCAGACGGUUAGAGCACGCGGCUCAUAUCCGCGGCGUCCGGGGUUCGAUUCCCUGCACCGGCACCA